rnacentral:lncRNA from 1 species
UUUUUUUACUUUAAAAAUAUUACAUUUCAAGUACUAAGUUUAAAAAUGUUUUCGGCUGAUCUUUUUUCAUUUUAAAUUAUUCAUUGAAGUUGGGGUCAUUGUAUGUGGCGAUCUAUUUUUUACAGUCUAUGCUCGCUAUCCCAAGGUUCAUUGCGAUCCCAAGGUUCACUGCGGUUUUCCACAAGCCUGUUUCUGCCUAUCACCAUGAGUGAUUCCUUGAUACUCAGAUUUUUCAUCAAGAUCUCAAUUAUAAGCUCAAGUCUUGAUGACAACUUGAUGAUCUGCAUGAAGCACCACCAUGUAUAGAGGGCCAAGACCACUCUGGAAUCAGUCAAGGGUGAAAUGGAGUGAGGCAUACCAGGAUAUGCCUGGUUUUACUCUUGGGAAGGAGGUUGAACAGUGCAAUAUUUCUUCUAUAGGAUUGCAUUGACCAGACAUGCUACUGUAACUCUCAUGGUCAUGUGCUGGAAUUAGCAGAUAUUCAACAAUUUGGCCAUCUUGCCGACCUAUUGAUAUCAGAAGACCACAACAGCUCUGCAAAGCAAGUUGGAAAACAGAAUCCAUGAAACUGGCAGUGACCGGAAACCAGUUGGAAGACUUUGGUCU